CCCCGCCCCCUGCUGGGCCUCUCUCCGCAGCCGCGAGACCCGCGCUUGGCGCAUAGGCCGGUUCUAAUUUACAAGAACACCGCGGCCUGAGGCCGGAGAGUCCCUUCAACCCGGGAGGCGGCGGCUGCAGGGAGCCGAGACGGCGCCAUUGCCCUCCAGCCUGGGCAAAAAGAGCGAAACUCCGUCUCAAAAAAAAAAAAACAUGGCCGAAACCAGGAAGCUGCGCGAUGGCGCCACGGCCCCUCUUCUCCCGGCCUGUGUCCGGAAGGUUUCCCUCCGAGGCGCCCCGGCUCCCGCAAGCGGAGGAGAGGGCGGGACGUGCCGGGGCCGGAGCUCAGAGGCCCUGGGGCCGCUCUGCUCUCCCGCCAUCGCAAGGGCGGCGCUGACCUGAGGCCUCCCCGCAAAGGUCCCCGAGGCGGCGGCGGCGGCGGGCUGUGAGAACCGCAGAAGAACGCUGGGCGCGCAGCGACCCGUCCACCCCCGCGAGGAGAGACUUCCACAGAGGCAGCGUUUCCACAGCCCAAAGCCACGUUUCUAGGGUGAUGCAGCCCCAGUAAGUUCCUGGCGGGGAAGCUCACGGCUGUCAAAAGAACUCUUCGCUCCAGCCGGCGCACGAAGGGGAGGAGGGCAGGAGGCUGCCGCCCGCACAGGUCAUCUGAUCACGUCGCCCGCCCUAGUCUGCUUUUGUGAAUCUCCACUUUGUUCAACCCCCACCCGCCGUCUCUCCCUCCCUGCGCCUUCCCUCUAACCUUAAAGACCCAGCUACCUCUACGCAAAUGGUAGCUACCUCUGCGCAGGUGGAAGUUGAGUUCGGUUCACGCGGGACCCUCUUCCCUGUGGCAAGCUGCUGAAGGAGACCUGCUGUUACUGCUUUAGCUGCUGUUCUGCUUAAUCUCAGACAGCUGGAAGGUAGUAUUCCGCCCUCGCCCAGCCACCCGAGUAAAUGAGAAUGAUGACUGACUGAGACCCUGAUGGUGGUGGCUUAGGCUUAAUCUCAGACAGCUGGAAGGUAGUAUUCCGCCCUCACCCAGCCACCCGAGUAAAUGAGAAUGAUGACUGACUGAGACCCUGAUGGUGGUGGCUUAGGCAAGAUGAACGUCUGAAAUGGAGGCCCAGGGCUGCCACGAUGGCUCUGUAGUCAUCAGGGAGGGAGCUCCUUUUAUCUUGUUACCUACUCCCCUCUUGUGCCCCUUUCUUCCCUUGAUCUAAGAAGGUUGCUCCGGAUCUCGCCAUCUGGCCUGCGUUCAAUCAGCAGAAGCUUCCUGGAGGAGCAGGAGGAGGCACUGUGCUCGCAUCACAUACCAGUGGCCAGAAGUUGGCUUCAGGGAAGCUCAGGAAAUAGGAUGCGAGAAGCCAUGAGACCUCCCCAAACUCUGCAGUAACAGAGUCAACAAGACAAUGGCUUAAAGAUGGAGAGACCAGUUGAUCGGUCACACAAGCUGUUCCACGAUAAUUCUUGUGUCAGAAGGGGAGGCUGACUACCAGGACCACUGGCCCCACUUCCAGCCCCUCCAUUCUGAGUACACUUCAGAGGGCUCUGGCAGGCACGUGCCCAGCUUCCUUUCAAGUCUCUGGCCAAUGCAAUGUGAGCAGAAGUGAAGGGGCAACUUUCAGGUGAUGACUUGGAAAAGAAAGCUUAGUCCUCUGCUUCUCCUGUC
rnacentral:lncRNA from 1 species